rnacentral:rRNA from 1 species
GAUGAACGCUGGCGGCGUGCCUAACACAUGCAAGUCGAACGGACUCAUAUUGAAACCUAGUGAUUUAUGAGUUAGUGGCGGACGGGUGAGUAACGCGUGGAAAACCUGCCGUAUACCGGGGGAUAACACUUAGAAAUAGGUGCUAAUACCGCAUAAGCGCACAGCUUCGCAUGAAGCAGUGUGAAAAACUCCGGUGGUAUACGAUGGUUCCGCGUCUGAUUAGCUAGUUGGCGGGGUAACGGCCCACCAAGGCGACGAUCAGUAGCCGGCCUGAGAGGGUGGACGGCCACAUUGGGACUGAGACACGGCCCAA